GAGUAGAAUGCCAUCCGCAGCUUGCACAUUUCGCAGCCGCCGUCUGGCUGCUGCUCCUUUUCAACGCCACUUCCACUCACCGCCACCAACACCAACAUGAACAGGAGCUCAGCAGCUUCCACUAGGCGUUCAUUGAGGAGGGCAUGUUCCUCUUCACCUCAGAGUCAGUGGGGGAAGGCCACCCAGAUAAGAUCUGUGACCAGAUCAGUGAUGCUGUCCUUGAUGCCCACCUUCAACAAAAUCCUGAUGCCAAAGUAGCUUGUGAAACUGCUGCUAAAACUGGAAUGAUCCUUCUUGCUGGGGAAAUUACAUCCAGAGCUGCUGCUGACUACCAGAAAAUGGUUCGUGAAACUAUUAAACACAUUGGAUAUGAUGAUUCUUCCAAAGGGUUUGACUACAAGACUUGUAAUGUGCUGGUAGCCUUGGAGCAAGUCACCAGAUAUUUCUCAAAGUGUUCAUCUUGACAGAAA